rnacentral:lncRNA from 1 species
UUCCUAACGAGGGAAAGCUCCUGGUCAGAAACAUUUAGUGGUCAAUGUUAAACCCACAUACACCUGAAUAUAACAACAACAAUAGCAACUAAAUAGGAAAACUGAUUCACCUCAUAUAUUUCCUUGCGCUCUGGAAAGAAUAGCAAAAUUUAUAUAAAGCAUAGCUUUGCACUGUUAAGGUCAUGACAGCCCACUUAUGGAAACAUGACAUCAGUGAUUACUCCACAAUGCAACUGAAUUGCAACAUAUACAAGAACUUUAUUACUCUACAGUAGACUAACUUCAAAUUUCUUGCUCUUAAUUUCAGAGUACUAUGGUUCAGUUCAUCUUCACAUCGGUUCUAAGUUACUAGGAACACCACAACAUCUCAAAAUUUCCAAUAUAGCCUUUAUGUCAACCAUACAUUCUGUUCCACUAUAGUAAUUAGCAGUAGCAGAC